ensembl:lncRNA
AUCCCGUGAGUACAGAGCACCCUGAGCCAUCAUCCAGUAGGAAGUUCAGUUCCGCUGGCCACCAUGCUAUGGGAAUCGAGUUGUAUACAGUGAUCACUAGAAUGAAGAGAACAACAGCAACGAAAAAUCAUUUAUUUCCUUUGGAACGUGCUCCUGGCUCCUGCUUGUGGGACACCUGAGAACCUCAGGUGACACACAAUGAACAUGCCAUUUGCAACAGUCCGGUAACGCUUUCGAUCGUCUUGCUAUUGUUACCUACGAGAGGUAAUUAUUUCCAGGUGCAUCUUGAAGCACUCAUUAAAACAGCCCCAGAUGGGUUGUAAUUGAUUAACUGGAACAGCAUCUUCAACCUCUGUCUCCUGUGAGCAGUUGAAAUAAACUGGCACGACUCACUCACUAACUCACACACGUGGUGGUUUCUAGAAUUUUGAAAAGAUAUUUUCCAAAAUGUUUUUCUAAGGUGGGACUCAAAAUAGGUAAGAUCAGAGAACACGAAUAAGCUGCUUAUGUUAGAAAUAAUCCAGAAGCAACAGUUCACUGGGGGAGAGGGUCCUAGGAUAUAUGGUGAGUUUUUGUUGGACUGUUUUGGCUAGUUAAUAAGAGUCUUGGCUCAGUGGUUGCUAAACUUAUACUUCUUGGUGAGGCUGAGAUUUGAAAUAUUUGUGCUGCAUUUGAAAAAUUGAACUAGAAGUCACUCAUGGGUUUUUCCCUAUUAUUACCACGGGGAGUAUAUUUAUCAAGACAAGGAACGCAAGCCGCCAAAAGAGCAACCUCGAAAUCUUAACGGCUUUCCGAAAUCAGGCUUUCUUCCUUGUUCCUGUAACAGGUUGGGACAGGUUGGGCACUCUUCUGGGAAGCCCUUCUCUAAGAGAUAGCUGGGAAGUCCUGCCCCGUCCAACCGAGAUGCCACCAUGUUAUACAUGUGACCUCCAUGGAUGCAGAAGGAUCAGAGCCAGAGUGGACAAGACUGGAAGGCCUGUCUCAUGAUCCAACCUUAUCCAGCCUGAGCCAUCUGCCUAGGAGGGCUGUGUCGGUAACUGAAGAAAAGAAAAUCUUCCUCUCCCUUGUAGGGUAAUGGGCAGAACUCCAUAUGCUCUGGAUGUAAGAAAUCAUCUGUCUUCUUUGAAACAUACAAAAAGUUCACAUCAGCAAAGGCCCCCAAACCCAGCAGAGGCCUGCUGAGGGCUUUCGUUUUCUACUUCUUCUCGAUUCUCUUCAGACAGAAAACACAGGAGCAUUUCAAGAGUGAAGGUAAAAGAAGGUAUCAGUCAGGAUAGGCUUGGUUAUGCCGUAGUAACAAAUAGCUCCAGAAUUUCAGUGGCUUAUUACAUCCAAAGGUUAUGUCUCUUUUUUUUUUUUUUUAAUUUUUUUUUUCAACGUUUAUUUAUUUUUGGGACAGAGAGAGACAGAGCAUGAACGGGGGAGGGGCAGAGAGAGAGGGAGACACAGAAUCGGAAACAGGCUCCAGGCUCUGAGCCAUCAGCCCAGAGCCUGACGCGGGGCUUGAACUCACGGACCGUGAGAUCGUGACCUGGCUGAAGUCGGACGCUUAACCGACUGCGCCACCCAGGCGCCCCCAAAGGUUAUGUCUCUUAAGGUCACAUGGGAGCUCUGCUCCAUGUUGUUCUGUCUCCAGGACCUAAGUGGAAAGAUCACCCACUGAAGAGAAUAUGGUAUAAUUUUGAAAAGGGAAUGCUGAGCAUGUCCGUGGACAAUUAAAUGCUCCUGCGUGGACAACACGUUGGUCUCAACUAGGCAUAGUCCAUUUCCUCAGCACCCCACCAGGAGGUCAGGAAGGUAGGUCUUUUGUGUGAC